rnacentral:rRNA from 1 species
UACGGAGGUUGCAAGCGUUAUCCGGAUUCACUGGGUUUAAAGGGUGCGUAGGCGGGCAGGUAAGUCAGUGGUGAAAUCCCCGAGCUUAACUUGGGAACUGCCGUUGAUACUAUCUGUCUUGAAUAUCGUGGAGGUGAGCGGAAUAUGUCAUGUAGCGGUGAAAUGCUUAGAUAUGACAUAGAACACCAAUUGCGAAGGCAGCUCGCUACACGAAUAUUGACUCUGAGGCACGAAAGCGUGGGGAUCAAACAGG